AGCAGCCGCGGUAAUUCCAGCUCCAAUAGCGUAUAUUAAAGUUGUUGCAGUUAAAAGCUCGUAGUUGAAUUUCGGGAUCAAAGAAUCGGUCAUGCCUUGGUAUGUACUGGUUUUAUUGGUUCUCACCUUCUAAAGAACCAUGAUGUCAUUCAUUUGAUGUUAUGGGGAAUUAGGACUGUUACCUUGAAAAAUUAGAGUGUUUAAAGCAAGCUUACGCUUGAAUACAUUAGCAUGGAAUAAUGAAAAUAGGACAUCAGAUUCUAUUUUGUUGGUUUCUAGGAUCGAUGUAAUGAUUAAUAGGGAUAGUUGGGGGCAUUAGUAUUCAAUUGUCAGAGGUGAAAUUCUUGGAUUUAUUGAAGACUAACUACUGCGAAAGCAUUUGCCAAGGAUGUUUUCAUUAAUCAAGAACGAAAGUUAGGGAUCGAAGACGAUCAGAUACCGUCGUAGUCCUAACCAUAAACCUAUAGCCGACUAGGGAUCGGAUGAUGUUAAUUUUUAAUGUACUCAUUCCGG
rnacentral:misc_RNA from 1 species